GACGGAGGGUGCAAGCGUUGCUCGGAAUCACUGGGCGUAAAGGGUGCGUAGGCGGGUCUUUAAGGCAGGGGUGAAAUCCUGGAGCUCAACUCCAGAACUGCCUUUGAUACUGGGAGUCUUGAGUUCGGGAGAGGUGAGUGGAACUGCGAGUGUAGAGGUGAAAUUCGUAGAUAUUCGCAAGAACACCAGUGGCGAAGGCGGCUCACUGGCCCGAUACUGACGCUGAGGUGCGAAAGCGUGGGGAGCAAACAGG
rnacentral:rRNA from 1 species